rnacentral:tRNA from 1 species
UCCCUGGUGGCUCAGCGGUAAAGAACCUUCCUGCAAUGCAGGAGAUCCAGGUUCAAUCCCUGGGUCGGGAA